rnacentral:rRNA from 1 species
AUACGGAGGGUCCAAGCGUUAUCCGGAAUCAUUGGGUUUAAAGGGUCCGCAGGCGGUCAAUUAAGUCAGAGGUGAAAGCCCAUCGCUCAACGAUGGAACUGCCUUUGAUACUGGUUGACUUGAGUUAUACGGAAGUAGAUAGAAUAAGUAGUGUAGCGGUGAAAUGCAUAGAUAUUACUUAGGAUACCGAUUGCGAAGGCAGUCUACUACGUAUAUACUGACGCUGAGGGACGAAAGCGUGGGGAGCGAACAGGAUUAGAAACCCUAGUAGUCC